rnacentral:rRNA from 1 species
UGACGGUACCCUUUCGAAUAAGAGGUUGCUAACUCUGUGCCAGCAGCAGCGGUAAUACAGAGACCUCGAGCGUUAUCCGGAUUUACUGGGCGUAAAGCGUCUGUAGGGGGUUUGUUAAGUUCCAAGUAAAAUCUUAAGGCUCAACUUUAAGUUCGCUUGGAAAACUAAUAAACUGGAGUCCAGCAGAGGUGCAUGGAACUUGCGGUGUAGGAGUGAAAUCCGUUGAUAUCGCAAGGAACACCAAAGGCGAAGGCAUUGCACUGGGCUGGUACUGACCCUGAGAGACGAAAGCGUGGGGAGCAAAACGGAUUAGAUACCCGUGUAGUCCACGCCGUAAACGAUGGAUACUAGAUGUUCGGGGAUUCGACCCCCUGGGUGUCACAGCUAACGCGUUAAGUAUCCCGCCUGGGAAGUACGGCCGCAAGGCUAAAACUCAAAGGAAUAGACGGGGAUCCGCACAAGCGGUGGAGCGUCUGGUUUAAUUUGAUAGUAAGCAAUGGACCUCACCAAGGUUUGACAUCCUAUGACAACCCUGGAAACAGGGCUUCCUUCGGGCAUAGUGACAGGUGCUGCAUGGUCGUCGUCAGUUCGUGCCGUGAGGUGUUCCGUUAAGUCGGGAAACGAACGAAACCCUCGUCGCAUGUUACAAAUUUCAUGCGAGACUGCCCGGGUCAACCGGGAGGAAGGCGGGGAUGACGUCAGAUCAGCAUGGCCCUUAUACCUUGGGCUACACAGGCGCUACAAUGGCCGGUACAAAGGGUUGCAAAACCGCGAGGUGAAGCUAAUCCCAUAAAGCCGGUCCAAGUUCGGAUUGGAGGCUGCAACUCGCCUCCAUGAAGUUGGAAUCGCUAGUAAUCGUGGAUCAGCCAUACCACGGUGAAUACGUUCCCGGAUCUUGUACUCACCGCCCGUCACACCAAGAGAGUUGGUAGCUCCUGAAGCGUCGCAUUAG